AUACAGAGGGUGCGAGCGUUAAUCGGAAUUACUGGGCGUAAAGCGCGCGUAGGCGGCUUAUUAAGUCAGAUGUGAAAUCCCCGGGCUCAACCUGGGAACUGCAUCUGAUACUGGUAAGCUAGAGUUUGGGAGAGGGAAGUAGAACUUCAGGUGUAGCGGUGAAAUGCAUAGAGAUCUGAAGGAAUACCAGUGGCGAAGGCGACUUCCUGGCCUAAAACUGACGCUGAGGUGCGAAAGCGUGGGUAGCAAACGGGAUUAGAAACCCCAGUAGUCC
rnacentral:rRNA from 1 species